AUACGUAGGGGGCGAGCGUUGUCCGGAAUGAUUGGGCGUAAAGGGCGCGUAGGCGGCGCGGUAGUCUGGAGUGAAAGUCCUGCUUUCAAGGUGGGAAUUGCUUUGGAUACUGCCGCGCUUGAGUGCAGGAGAGGUUAUCGGAAUUCCCGGUGUAGCGGUGAAAUGCGUAGAGAUCGGGAGGAACACCAGUGGCGAAGGCGGGUAACUGGACUGCAACUGACGCUGAGGCGCGAAAGUGUGGGGAGCAAACAGGAUUAGAUACCCUGGUAGUCCACACUGUAAACGAUGAAUGCUAGGUGUAAGAGGUAUCGACCCCUUCUGUGCCGCAGUCAACACAAUAAGCAUUCCGCCUGGGGAGUACGGCCGCAAGGUUGAAACUUAAAGGAAUUGACGGGG
rnacentral:rRNA from 1 species